UCGGAGCAAGCCCCCAUGGUGGCUUGUCCCCAUGGUGGCUUGUCCCCACCACCGAGGUUAGCACCUCUAGCCAGAGCAGUGCCCCAAAACUCAUUGGGGUGCAAGGUCCCGGUGCCGGUGGGUGCCAGCUGGAUCCAGGGUGUCGAUGUUCAUCGUCUCCCUGCUUGGUAUCCAGAGGAAAACCCCCAAAAUAAUACCUGCGGAGAGCAACCUGCUGCUGGGCUGAGGCCAAGGGCUGCACUGUGCUCAGCCUGAUUGGCCACCGCUGGCCCGCGCCCGCGGGAUCUUAACUCUUUCUUCCCAUCGGGGCGGAGAGGAACCCCACAUCCUCCAACGGGGACCGUGGCGUCUGACGGGAUGUCUGAGUAUCAAAGGAGUCGCCGGUCGCAGUCUCACAAACAUAGCAUCAUCAAUGGUGGGCUAAUAGCAGCAAGAACAGUCAAAUAGCAGUAAUGCUAACAAUAAUCAAAAGUGGGUUACGCAUGCAUUUAAACCAUGGCAAAACACACUGCUGGGGUGCAUGGGAAAGGUGUAAAUUAUACCAAAAUUGAUUCCUGCAGAGACUCAAGCUCUUAAUUUUGCCCUUUGACUUCAGAAGCAAAGACUUCCAAGAAACAGGCUGGUUUAUACAGUGCUAGAAGAGAUUCCCAGCAGCAGGAUGCAUGGCACACAAUUUGGAAAUAGCCACAUGUAUAGAAAACCCUUUCCACCCCAAGGACAGCUCUUGCAAUAACCAGAGCUUGUUCCAGCAGCUUCACUGGGGCAUGGACCUUCACCCUUGGUGAAGCUGCCCAGGCAAAGGAGCCCUUGGCCGCGCGGCCUGGAGGUGCAGCAUCCCCCAGGCUCAGCAGAUCUCGCAGGAGGCAGGCAGUUUCCUGACAUUACAGCUGGUUAAGGCUGUGCUUGUUCUCUCUUUGGGAGUUGUGUUAUGUCUUAGUGCUUCCCACGGAUGAAUAAAUCAUGAUGGAAGAGGCUUUGGAGAAUGCUGGAAACUCCAGGAAAACCCGUGCUCGAGGCGCUCUCAGGCAACUCAUAAACUUUUGAACCCUGAACUCCCAUUUCUAGCCCAGAUCUCCAGUCACUGAGACAUAAACCUCUCUACCCACCAAGCUCACCUCCACCAAAGCCCCUCCACCACCUCUGAGAGCCAACAGAGACCCCCCAGUUCGCAGCCAGCACCCCAUCAUGCAGGGACUCCUGUGCAGCCAGCUGCAUCCAGGCCACUGUGUUUCCCUGUCCCCAUGGGACAGAAGAACCAAGACUUGGACUCAUCUCUUUGGGGGGUUUUAUCCAUCUCCGCAGUGCCCUUUUUGGGCUGGAGAAUCACAGGUCUAACAAUGGAUUCUUAACUGACAUUUAAAUUAGAUGAGAUCAUCGUUAUCAACGCAACUUGCAGGAGAUUUUCUUUCCAAGAUACGUUUGGCUGCAUGGCUCGUCUCACGGGGACCCUGGGUAGCUAACGGGGAGCAGUCUAUCCAUCAGAGCAUCUCUGAAGCCUCAUGAAAGGGGCUGUCCAGAUGGAGGGGGACCUGGAACGUUCGGCUGAGAGCAUGAGGUCCGGCUCACCCAUUUGGGGGAAGUCUGGAGCCUUGAGUUGCGUGGAGUCACAGAUGGGAAGCAGAAACCAGUUGGGACCUGAAUACUGAACUUGGACUCAAAUACAGUUAGUGUUCUACAGAAACACUCAAACAGGAUGACCUCCAGCCUUGUAUUACAGGUUUUGGGGUUACCCACCUAAAAAGCCAUCCCUACUGAGCCAACUGGACCCAAAACUACAUCCCUCAAAGGACCCUCAAAGCCAGUUAGCUCCUUCCCCCUUUCUCCCUCAGUUCAACAGUGGGGAAGUCUGUCGUUGCAUAUGGUUCAUGUUGAGGAUGUGCCCAGCUCCUAACUUAAUCCUUUCAGGUCAGAAAUUAUGGCUGUGGUUUUCCCCGUCCAACCCUGGUAGAUGGCUCGGGGUCAGCCCUGUAUCCAGCAAAAUGCAACACACCCCACUCUGGUUUCACCCACGGGGCCAUGGCAGCAAUGCCAGUCUUUGCCCCAAAACAGCCAAGACAAACACAGCAGCCCCCAGGCAGCACCCCCAGACAUCAGAGGCUCCUCUGUCUCAGGGAGGGCACCACCAGCUCCCCCAUUUCAUACACAUCCCUUCCCUCGAUGGGAGGAAGGUCUACCCUGACUUUCCCAGCUCCAGCAGCUCACGCUGGGCCAGCAGCCCUUCUCCAAACCUCCCUUUCCGCACCAGGCUGAAGCUGUUCAUGACCGCAAUGGCUGUGCCAAGAAGGUGAUGGAUCUCCAACACAAGUCCUGAGGCUGCAAAGUGUUUAGCAGCACAGAUCAGGUUAAAGUUAUGGGGGUUUGCAGCUUUGGGUAGGAGCCACAACAAAAGAAGUGCCUGUAGCUUCAAAAAAAGAAAAGCAGCAGAUCGUCUUUCUCUACUCAAUGGAUCCCUUGGACUGGCUGCUGUCAAAUGGGACCCAGGGGACUCCUGUUGAGUUUUUCUCUCUUGCAGGAAAUUUCUCCUAUUUGAAAAUUAUUUCUGCGGAAAUGUUCUGGGGUUUGGGGGGUUUUUUAUGGAGGUGAUUUUUUUUUUCCAGUGAAAUUGGUUUUUUUCAAUGCCUUCUCCUU